rnacentral:rRNA from 1 species
GAGUUUGAUCAUGGCUCAGAUUGAACGCUGGCGGCAGGCCUAACACAUGCAAGUCGAGCGGAAACGAUGGAAGCUUGCUUCUAGGCGUCGAGCGGCGGACGGGUGAGUAAUGCGCAGGAAUUUGCCCAGCAGUGGGGGAUAGCCCGGAGAAAUCCGGAUUAAUACCGCAUAUACCCUACGGGGGAAAGAGGGCCUCCUUGGAAGCUCUUGCUGUUGGAUGAGCCUGCGUCGGAUUAGCUAGUUGGUAGGGUAAAGGCCUACCAAGGCGACGAUCCGUAGCUGGUCUGAGAGGAUGAUCAGCCACACUGGAACUGAGACACGGUCCAGACUCCUACGGGAGGCAGCAGUGGGGAAUAUUGGACAAUGGGCGCAAGCCUGAUCCAGCCAUGCCGCGUGUGUGAAGAAGGCUCUAGGGUUGUAAAGCACUUUAAGUUGGGAGGAAAGGUUGAAGUUUAAUACGCUUUAGCUGUGACGUUACCAACAGAAUAAGCACCGGUUAACUCCGUGCCAGCAGUUGUGGUAAUACGGAGGGUGCAAGCGUUAAUCGGAAUUACUGGGCGUAAAGCGCGCGUAGGUGGUUAGAUAAGUUGGAUGUGAAAGUCCCGGGUUUAACCUGGGAACUGCAUUCAAAACUGCCUAGCUAGAGUAUGAUAGAGGGGGGUAGAAUUUUAGGUGUAGCGGUGAAAUGCGUAGAUAUAGGAAGGAACAUCAGUGGCGAAGGCGGCCUCCUGGAUCGAUACUGACGCUAAGGUGCGAAAGCGUGGGGAGCAAACAGGAUUAGAUACCCUGGUAGUCCACGCUGUAAACGAUGUCAACUAGCCGUUGGAAGGGUAAUCCUUUUAGUGGCGCAGCUAACGCUUUAAGUUGACCGCCUGGGGAGUACGGUCGCAAGAUUAAAACUCAAAUGAAUUGACGGGGGCCCGCACAAGCGGUGGAGCAUGUGGUUUAAUUCGACGCAACGCGAAGAACCUUACCUGGUCUUGACAUCCUGUGAACUUUCUAGAGAUAGAUUGGUGCCUUCGGGAACACAGUGACAGGUGCUGCAUGGCUGUCGUCAGCUCGUGUCGUGAGAUGUUGGGUUAAGUCCCGUAACGAGCGCAACCCUUGUCCCUAGUUGCCAUCAUAUAAUGGUGGGGACUCUAGAGACACUGCCUACGUAAGUAGUGAGGAAGGUGGGGACGACGUCAAGUCAUCAUGGCCCUUACGUCCUGGGCUUCACACGUGCUACAAUGGAUGGUACAAAGAGCAGCCACUCAGCGAUGAGGAGCGAAUCUCAAAAAACCAUUCUCAGUUCGGAUCGGAGUCUGCAACUCGACUCCGUGAAACUGGAAUCGCUAGUAAUCGCAUAUCAGCAAUGAUGCGGUGAAUACGUUCCCGGGCCUUGUACACACCGCCCGUCAAGCCAUGGAAGUUGGGAGAACCUAAAGUCGAUAACC